GGACGAACGCUGGCGGCGUGCCUAACACAUGCAAGUCGAACGGGGGGAACAUGAAGUAUUUCGGUACGGAAUGCGCCCCUAGUGGCGAACGGGUGAGUAACACGUGGGCAACCUGCCCCAGACUGGGGGAUAACAUUGUGAAAACAGUGCUAAUACCGCAUGACAGGGUUCCGGGCAUCCGGGACCCUUGAAAGGAGAAAUCCGGUCAGGGAUGGGCCCGCGUCCAAUUAGCUAGUUGGCGGGGUAACGGCCCACCAAGGCGACGAUUGGUAGCCGAACUGAGAGGUUGAUCGGCCACAUUGGGACUGAGACACGGUCCAUACACCUACGGGUGGCAGCAGUAGGGAAUAUUAGUAAUGGGCGAAAGCCUGAACUAGCAACGCCGCGUGUGCGAAGAAGGCCUUCGGGUUGUAAAGCACUUUUUGAGAGGAUGAGGAAGGACGGUACUCUCAGAAUAAGUCUCGGCUAACUACGUGCCAGCAGCCGCGGUAACACGUAGGAGGCAAACGUUAUCCGGAUUUACUGGGCGUAAAGCGCGUGUAGGUGGUUUGGUAAGUAGGGCGUGAAAGCUCCUGGCUCAACUGGGAGAGGACGUUCUAAACUGCCAAGCUUGAGGAUGGUAGAGGGAGGUGGAAUUCCGGGUGUAGCGGUGGAAUGCGCAGAUAUCCGGAGGAACACCAGUGGCGAAGGCGGCCUCCUGGACCACUCCUGACACUCAGACGCGAAAGCUAGGGUAGCAAACGGGAUUAGAGACCCCGGUAGUCCUAGCCCUAAACGAUGUAGACNUGNCGUCGGUGGUUUAAUCGCCAUCGGUGUCGUAGCUAACGCGUUAAGUCUACCGCCUGGGGACUACGGCCGCAAGGUUAAAACUCAAAGGAAUUGACGGGUCCCCGCACAAGCAGCGGAGCGUGUGGUUUAAUUCGAUGCUACACGAAGAACCUUACCUGGGUUUGACAUAGAGGUAGUAGGGAAGCGAAAGCGGACCGACCCUUCGGGGAGCCUCUACAGGUGUUGCAUGGCUGUCGUCAGCUCGUGUCGUGAGAUGUUCGGUUAAGUCCGCUAACGAGCGCAACCCUCGCUGUGUGUUACAAGUGUCACACGGUACUGCCGAUAUUAAGUCGGAGGAAGGUGGGGAUGACGUCAAGUCAGCAUGACCUUUAUAUCCAGGGCUACACACACGCUACAAUGGCCAGUACAAUGGGUUGCCAAGCCGCGAGGCGGAGCCAAUCCUAAAAAGCUGGCCUCAGUUCAGAUUGCAGUCUGCAACUCGACUGCAUGAAGUUGGAGUUGCUAGUAACCGCAGGUCAGCAAUACUGCGGUGAAUACGUUCCCGGGGAU
rnacentral:rRNA from 1 species